GACGAACGCUGGCGGCGUGCUUAACACAUGCAAGUCGAACGGAAAGGCCCUGCAUUUGUGGGGUGCUCGAGUGGCGAACGGGUGAGUAACACGUGAGUAACCUGCCCUUGACUUUGGGAUAACUUCAGGAAACUGGGGCUAAUACCGGAUCGGAGUUACAGCUGCAUGGUGGGGGUUGGAAAGUUUCGGCGGUUGGGGAUGGACUCGCGGCUUAUCGGCUUGUUGGUGGGGUAGUGGCUUACCAAGGCUUUGACGGGUAGCCGCCCUGAGAGGGUGACCGGCCACAUUGGGACUGGGAUACGGCCCGGACUCCUACGGGAGGCAGCAGUGGGGAAUAUUGCACAAUGGGCGGAAGCCUGAUGCAGCAACGCCGCGUGCGGGAUGACGGCCUUCGGGUUGUAAACCGCUUUCGCCUGUGACGAAGCGUGAGUGACGGUAAUGGGUAAAGAAGCACCGGCUAACUACGUG
rnacentral:rRNA from 1 species